UACGAAGGGGGCUAGCGUUGCUCGGAAUCACUGGGCGUAAAGCGCACGUAGGCGGAUUGUUAAGUCGGGGGUGAAAUCCUGGAGCUCAACUCCAGAACUGCCUUCGAUACUGGCGAUCUUGAGUCCGGGAGAGGUGAGUGGAACUCCGAGUGUAGAGGUGAAAUUCGUAGAUAUUCGGAAGAACACCAGUGGCGAAGGCGGCUCACUGGCCCGGUACUGACGCUGAGGUGCGAAAGCGUGGGGAGCAAACAGG
rnacentral:rRNA from 1 species